rnacentral:rRNA from 1 species
AACGUAGGUACCGAGCGUUAUCCGGAUUUACUGGGCGUAAAGCGUGUGCAGGCGGUCGUGCAAGUCGGGCAUGAAAGCCCCUGGCUCAACUAGGGGAAGCUGUCUGAUACUGCGCGACUUGAGGGCUCGAGAGGGCGAUGGAAUUCCGCAUGUAGUGGUGAAAUGCGUAGAUAUCAGGAGGAAUACCGAUGGCGAAGGCAGGUCUCUGGGCUGACACUGACGCUCAUGCACGAAAGCGUGGGGAGCAAACAGG